UUGGAGGGCAAGUCUGGUGCCAGCAGCCGCGGUAAUUCCAGCUCCAAUAGCGUAUAUUAAAGUUGUUGCAGUUAAAAAGCUCGUAGUUGAAUUUCGGGGUUAGUAGGUUGGUCAUGCCUCUGGUAUGUACUGGUCUCACUGAUUCCUCCCUCCUGAUGAACCGUAAUGCCAUUAAUUUGGUGUUGCGGGGAAUUUGGACUGUUACUUUGAAAAAAUUAGAGUGUUUAAAGCAAGCUAACGCUUGAAUACAUUAGCAUGGAAUAAUGAAAUAGGACGUUCGAUCCUAUUUUGUUGGUUUCUAGGAUUGACGUAAUGAUUAAUAGGGAUAGUUGGGGGCAUUAGUAUUCAAUUGUCAGAGGUGAAAUUCUUGGAUUUAUUGAAGACUAACUACUGCGAAAGCAUUUGCCAAGGAUGUUUUCAUUAAUCAAGAACGAAAGUUAGGGGAUCGAAGACGAUCAGAUACCGUCGUAGUCUUAACCAUAAACUAUGCCGACUAGGGAUCGGAUGAUGUUAAUUUUUUAAUGACUCAUUCGGCGCCUUACGGGAAAC
rnacentral:rRNA from 1 species